AUUGAACGCUGGCGGUAUGCUUUACACAUGCAAGUCGAACGGCAGCGCGGGCUUCGGCCUGGCGGCGAGUGGCGAACGGGUGAGUAAUGCAUCGGAACGUGCCCAGUAGUGGGGGAUAGCCCGGCGAAAGCCGGAUUAAUACCGCAUACGACCUGAGGGUGAAAGCGGGGGACCGAAAGGCCUCGCGCUCUUGGAGCGGCCGAUGUCGGAUUAGCUAGUUGGUGGGGUAAAGGCUUACCAAGGCGACGAUCCGUAGCUGGUCUGAGAGGACGACCAGCCACACUGGGACUGAGACACGGCCCAGACUCCUACGGGAGGCAGCAGUGGGGAAUUUUGGACAAUGGGGGCAACCCUGAUCCAGUCAUGCCGCGUGCGGGAAGAAGGCCUUCGGGUUGUAAACCGCUUUUGUUCGGGAAGAAAUCCUCUGGGCUAAUACCCCGGGGGGAUGACGGUACCGGAAGAAUAAGCACCGGCUAACUACGUG
rnacentral:rRNA from 1 species